UCGCAGCUUACCAUGCAGUCGAGCGGUAACAGGGGGUGCUUGCACCCCGCUGACGAGCGGCGGACGGGUGAGUAAUGCAUAGGAAUCUGCCCAGUAGUGGGGGAUAGCCCGGGGAAACCCGGAUUAAUACCGCAUACGCCCUUUGGGAGAAAGCAGGGGAUCUUCGGACCUUGCGCUAUUGGAUGAGCCUAUGUCGGAUUAGCUAGUUGGUGGGGUAAAGGCCUACCAAGGCGACGAUCCGUAGCUGGUCUGAGAGGAUGAUCAGCCACAUCGGGACUGAGACACGGCCCGAACUCCUACGGGAGGCAGCAGUGGGGAAUAUUGGACAAUGGGGGCAACCCUGAUCCAGCCAUGCCGCGUGUGUGAAGAAGGCUUUCGGGUUGUAAAGCACUUUCAGUGAGGAGGAAAACCUUCUGGUUAAUACCCAUGAGGCUUGACGUUACUCACAGAAGAAGCACCGGCUAACUCCGUGCCAGCAGCCGCGGUAAUACGGAGGGUGCAAGCGUUAAUCGGAAUUACUGGGCGUAAAGCGCGCGUAGGUGGUUUGAUAAGCGAGAUGUGAAAGCCCCGGGCUUAACCUGGGAACGGCAUUUCGAACUGUCAGGCUAGA
rnacentral:rRNA from 1 species